UUGACCUCGGAUCAGGUAGGGAUACCCGCUGAACUUAAGCAUAUCAAUAAGCGGAGGAAAAGAAACCAACAGGGAUUGCCUCAGUAACGGCGAGUGAAGCGGCAAAAGCUCAAAUUUGAAAUCUGGCUCCUUCGGGGCCCGAGUUGUAAUUUGCAGAGGAUGCUUCGGGCGUGGCCGCGGUCUAAGUCCCCUGGAACGGGGCGUCGCAGAGGGUGAGAAUCCCGUCUUCGGCCGGCCGGCUUCGCCCGUGUGAAGCUCCUUCGACGAGUCGAGUUGUUUGGGAAUGCAGCUCUAAAUGGGUGGUAAAUUUCAUCUAAAGCUAAAUAUUGGUCGGAGACCGAUAGCGCACAAGUAGAGUGAUCGAAAGAUGAAAAGCACUUUGAAAAGAGAGUUAAACAGCAUGUGAAAUUGUUGAAAGGGAAGCGCUUGCGACCAGAGUCGGCCGCGGGGGUUCAGCGGGCAUUCGUUGCCCGUGCACUCCCCCGCGGGCGGGCCAGCGUCGGUUUUGACGGCCGGUCAAAGGCCCCCGGAAUGUGUCGCCUCUCGGGGCGUCUUAUAGCCGGGGGUGCAAUGCGGCCAGUCGGGACCGAGGAACGCGCUUCGGCACGGACGCUGGCUUAAUGGUCGUAAGCGACC
rnacentral:rRNA from 2 species